GGACGAUGAUGAGCGCACCGAAUUAACAUACUGCUACACCAAGAAGUGGGCUCUCCACAUCAUGGUUCGCAUGUUCGAGGGGUAUGGAAGUCCCAGCAACGUAGUUAGUGAAAAGCAC